UAUUUAUAUAGUUUAUAUAAAACACUACAUUUUCAUUGUAGAAAAAAAAAUAUAUUUUUUAUAAAUAU
rnacentral:tRNA from 1 species